UAAUAAUGAAGCCUUCGGUAUGAUCAGUUUAGUUCCUGAUGAGGACCCACUGAAAGAGUCCGGAUCUGUGUUACUUGCUGGGUCUGAUCAACUGAGCAGAGAAGAGUCUCAAACUGAGAAUUCUUCUGUAUGCCACGUGUACUCCACCAUCCCUGAGGAGCCGGAUGAAAGAUCUUUGAGGAAGGCAAAUGUGGCAUACAGCACUCUACACCUACACUGAAACAAAUUAAAAAGUACUGUAUUGGCAAAGAACAGAAGAUAAGACUAAAUGGCCAUUACACACUCAAGCAAUAUCCAUAAGGCAGGAAGAUAUUUUUCUUCCUUUUCUUUUUCUUUUUUGUAAGAGUCUCACCUGGAUAAUGUCACGAUUCGGCUGUGUGCAGCCAGGAAGAGGACCCAAAAUGCAGGAGUCGCAACACAUGGGAAUGAACUCAGGAAAAUGCAGCUUUAUUAACAGACUCAGGGAAAUGAUGCAAAACUAAACUAGACUAGGAAAACAAAACCUAA